GAUGUGUACAUAUUUUAAUUUAAAAUCAUUUUAUUAAAUUAAAUAAAAUUACAUUUAAAUCCAAUUUUAAAUAAAUUUUUCAAUUUAUUAUCCAAAAAUAAAUUUAUUGUAAUCCAUUAUAUUCUUAAAUAUAAACUACAUCUUGAUUUGAUUUAAUUUAUUUUUUAAAUUUUAAAAUAUUAAAUUUUAUAAAAAAUAUUUUUUUAACAACGAUAUAUAAAUUUUUAAUUUAAGUAAAUUUAUUCGUGGAUUAUCAAUUAUUAAACAGAUUCCUCUAAAUUUACUAAAAUACCGCCAAAUUAUUUAAAUUUAAAUAAAUAAUUAUUUACUAAUUU
rnacentral:rRNA from 1 species